UGGAAAUGAUGAAAUAAAGAUAAUUGGGUGUUGAAUGUUGUAUGAUUGGAAAUUUUUAAUAUGUAAGUUAAGUAAUCUAGGUUUAAUAUUUUAUAGAUACUUAAUGUGGGGGGAGGGGUGUGUGUGUGUGUGCGCGUGUUCGUGGAGGCUAUGGAAAGGGGGCACUGACUGGUGAUGCUGAUAUUGGAGUGCAUCUGAGGCUGUUGUAGAAAUACAUGGGUUGUUGAUUACAACAUGGCCGAUGAUUAUAACCCAAGAACAGCUCACCUAAGUAGCCUAACACCCUAAAAUCUUUAACAGGUUCAUUAAACACGUUCCUGUGAUCUGAUCCGA